rnacentral:lncRNA from 1 species
GAGUCUUUAAGACGUGUGCAGAACAUGGAUGUAUUAUUGAAAAAUACGUAUACGCGUAUAAUACAGUAUUAAAUGUGAAAGCACUAAAUUCUUAAUACGGGUAAUAACUUUGAAAAAGUAAAAAAUCAAAAGGUGGCAAUAGAGACUUGGAUAAUUGCCUAAUAGUAAUGGAUAAUGUUCUAAAAUACUCUUACCGAUAAACGAAAAUCGGGAAAAAAAAUUUAAAAGAAAAAAAAGGAUCCCAGCAUAUAGAUAAAGCAAUAAUUUUAAAAAAAGAGCACCGUAAAGCCACGCGACUAUACUAUUUUUUUUAAAACAUUAAAAAAUCGAGUAUAGCAGCGUGGCCUUACUAUUUAUAAAAAUAAAAAAAAACACCAGCCUAGCGCUAAAGCGCCUGCGUGUCAAAACAGUAUAGCCGCGCGGCUAUACGAUUUUUUUAAAAAUAUUUUAUAUUUAAAGGGUAUUGAAUAAAAUAAAAAUAAAAAUAAUAAAAAAGGGCCCUCCUAGUUGCACUAGUUUAUACUUUAUAGAUAUUAAUUUUCUAGUUUCAACAUAUCCAAAGCAUAUAUUGAAUAGAGAGAAAUUUCACAGUAAAUCAAUAUGAGAGUUCAAUUAUUUCUUUUUUUUUGGUGUGGGAAUGUUUGCUUUGAUCGACCUCGUUUUCUCAAAUGCUACUAAAUUAUGUUACUGUACACAUUAUUUAUCGUAGAUAAUUGCAUGCUAAGUUGCAAUGUUCUUGAUAAUUGCUUCACUGUUCAAACAACACUUAUACAUGAACAAUACUACCGCCUAUGUUAGUGCUAUACUCAUAAAUAUUUGUUCGAAAUUG